CAAAUAAUUUAUCUACCUUCUGAAUUGUAUUUGGGAAGAAACUCUAAUCGAAUAUCAGAAAAAAUGGCAAAGACCUCGUUUGUGUGCAUCUUCGCAUUGGUGCUGAUUAUAUCAGUUCACAUCCACACCGUGUUUGGUCAUGAUCAAGACAAUAAAGACAUGAUGGAUAAAGCCGGCGACGCUGCUUCAUCGGCAAAGCAUGCAGCGGAGGACUUGGGACACAAGGCUUCCAAUGUCGCGCAGAACGCUAAGGACACCGGCUCGUCAUGGGCUGAUUGGUUUAAAGGCAAAUUCUCAUUCGACGCAAGCGUGGGAGAUGAUGACCACGAUCAUGCAAAGGGACCUUCCAAACCUUAAUCUCGUUGCUAUGACAACUUAGUACAUAAAUAAGUAAAGACCGUGUGUUACAUCACUAACGGGAACCCCUAAUUCCCAUUGGUCUUAGGAGUAGUAAUAAGAAUGAAGAACAUCGCUCAGUCUCGACUCUCGUAGCGAAGUGACAUGAAGAUUGAAUAUAUCAUUGUAAUUAUGAACAUACGUACAUAAUAUGAUCUGCUUGUGCAAUUUGAUGCACUACAUUAUUC